rnacentral:rRNA from 1 species
UACGGAAGGCAGCAGUGGGGAAUAUUGCACAAUGGGCGCAAGCCUGAUGCAGCCAUGCCGCGUGUAUGAAAAAGGCCUUCGGGUUGUAAAGUACUUUCAGUCGUGAGGAAGGUGUUAAGGUUAAUAACCUUAGCAAUUGACGUUAGCGACAGAAGAAGCACCGGCUAACUCCGUGCCAGCAGCCGCGGUAAUACGGAGGGUGCGAGCGUUAAUCGGAAUUACUGGGCGUAAAGGGCACGCAGGCGGUUAAUAAGUUGGAUGUGAAAUCCCCGGGCUUAACCUGGGAAUGGCAUUCAAGACUGGUUAGCUAGAGUCUUGUAGAGGGGGUAGAAUUCCAUGUGUAGCGGUGAAAUGCGUAGAGAUGUGAGGAAUACCGGUGGCGAAGGCGGCCCCUGGACAAAGACUGACGCUCAUGUGCGAAAGCGUGGGGAGCAAAACAGGGAUUAGA